rnacentral:rRNA from 1 species
GAUAAACGCUAGCGGCGUGCCUUAUGCAUGCAAGUCGAACGGUUGAGAGCAAUCUUUACAGUGGCAAACGGCUGAGUAACGCGUAAGCAACCUGUCCUUAAGUGGGGAAUAAUCCGCCGAAAGGUGGACUCAUACCGCAUGUGGUAGUGGAGGUAGGUUUUCACUACUAAAGCUUUCGGGCGCUUGAGGAGGGGCUUGAGUCCUAUCAGGUUGUUGGUGGGGUAACGGCUCACCAAGCCAAUGACGGGUAGCUGGUUUGAGAGGACGUCCAGCCAGACGGGGACUGAGACACGGCCCCGACUCCUACGGGAGGCAGCAGCAAGGAAUUUUGCGCAAUGGGCGAAAGCCUGACGCAGCAACGCCGCGUGAGGGAAGAAGGCCUUCGGGUUGUAAACCUCUUUUCCCAGGGAAGAAUAAUGACGGUACCUGGGGAAUAAGUCACGGCUAACUACGUGCCAGCAGCCGCGGUAAGAC